GUGCGUUGGGGGUCUUGUUAGCGCAAGAUAUUCUGAUUUCCUAGCAUUUCCAUCGCACAUGCCGCAUCUGUUGGGUUGGAUUAGCGUCCGUGAUAGAUCAAGCUCGUUCGUGAUUGGUUAGUUUCAGGAUUGAUCUAUCAAUGGUUUGUUAUACGAGACAAUUACGCAUGCGCAUUGGUGUCUAUUUUGAACCUUUGACAGCGAGAAAUCACGAGGUUUGAAAGAUAUUAAAAACACAACAUUGUUUUGUUUCGCUCAAACGCCGCUGAUCGAUCGUGAAGAAGCUUUGAAUACAGCGGAGACAAGCGAACAUUGGUCAAGUCAGUUACUGAAGCAAGAUGAAGUUGAUCUGUGUGCUCCUGCUCUGCGCGUUAGCCGUCUCUGGUAAGCAAAAUCUAUUCUCUUUUUUUUGUACAACAUACAGAAAAUAUUCAGCAACGCGCAGAAGCUAUUGAUAAUGAUAUUGGGUUCCAAAGUUCACAUUUGCGCAAUUUAAUUAAUGCGUGAUUUGAACAUAUUCUUCCGUGUAUCUACUAAAAGUGAUUUGGUAAAAAAAAUUUAAAAGAUCUGACCGCUAGCACGGAUUUUUUUACUGGCACUGGUGAUAAACCGUGAUAUUUUUACAAGAACUAAAGCGUACUUUAGUCACUAUAAGUAUUCGAAGUUUCCUCAGUGCGUACGCUGUAAGUUUCAAAGUGCAAGCUUUGUUUACUAAAUACUCUGCGAAUGCGGC